AAUGAACGCUGGCGGCAUGCCUAACACAUGCAAGUCGAACGCGUCGCGGACGUGAGAGUAAUGUGUGUGAACCUGCCUUAUGGAGGGGGAAAACUACGGGAAACGGUAGAUAAUCCCGCAAACCAUCGGCUGUGGCAACGUGGGAUUAGCUAGUAGGUGGGGUAAAGGCUCACCUAGGCAACGAUCCCUAGCUGAUCUGAGAGGGUGACCGGCCACACGGGAACUGAGACACGGUCCAGACUCCUACGGGAGGCAGCAGUGGGGAAUCUUGCACAAUGGGCGCAAGCCUGAUGCAGCAACGCCGCGUGUGUGAAGAAGGCCUUCGGAUUGUAAAGCUCUUUUAGUGGGGAGGCGGUACCUGCAGAAGAAGCACCGGCUAACUCCGUGCCAGCAGCCGCGGUAAUAC
rnacentral:rRNA from 1 species